AUUGAACGCUGGCGGCAGGCCUAACACAUGCAAGUCGAGCGGAUGAAGGGAGCUUGCUCCUGGAUUCAGCGGCGGACGGGUGAGUAAUGCCUAGGAAUCUGCCUGGUAGUGGGGGAUAACGUCCGGAAACGGGCGCUAAUACCGCAUACGUCCUGAGGGAGAAAGUGGGGGAUCUUCGGACCUCACGCUAUCAUAUGAGCCUAGGUCGGAUUAGCUAGUUGGUGGGGUAAAGGCCUACCAAGGCGACGAUCCGUAACUGGUCUGAGAGGAUGAUCAGUCACACUGGAACUGAGACACGGUCCAGACUCCUACGGGAGGCAGCAGUGGGGAAUAUUGGACAAUGGGCGAAAGCCUGAUCCAGCCAUGCCGCGUGUGUGAAGAAGGUCUUCGGAUUGUAAAGCACUUUAAGUUGGGAGGAAGGGCAGUAAGUUAAUACCUUGCUGUUUUGGCGCUACCAACAGAAUAAGCACCGGCUAACUUCGUG
rnacentral:rRNA from 1 species